rnacentral:tRNA from 4 species
UCCUCGGUAGCUCAAUGGUAGAGCAUUCGGCUGUUAACCGAAGGGUUGCAGGUUCGAGUCCUGCCCGAGGAGCCA